UCCCUGGAGGACUAGUGGUUAGGCCUCGGCACUCUCACCGCUGCAGCCUGGGUUUGAUUCCCAGCCAGGGAC
rnacentral:tRNA from 1 species